UGAGGACCCGAAAGCCGGGCGCGGGGAGAUGACCGGUGGCUCGUGACGGUCCCACGGGCAAAAUCUUCCAUCGCCCGGGGCUGAGACUUGUCAAACUGCCCUCUACGGUCACCCGGAAAGUAGGAGGCUUUUUCUGCAGAGGGAAAAAAAUCAAAAAGAGCCGUUCCAUCCCCCCUCCAAGGACUGGGUUUGAAUUGCUUUUCAUCUGCAGUGGCUGUGAUUCAGCGUCCCUCUUAGCAGCAGGCACUGACAGAGGCAGGAGAGGAAAAAAGAAAGAAAGAAAGAGAAAACACAGCAAAUGAAUCAAACGGACGUAGCAGGCAAGAGUGUGGUUAUCGUUGGACCAGGAUUCAGGAUCUGACCGAGUAGCUGACUCUUAAUCCAGUUUGUGUUGAUCACCAGGAGGAUCUGGACCUCAGUGUUAUCACAUCUAAAGGAAAGGAGCCUAACUAGAGUCAGU
rnacentral:lncRNA from 1 species